GACGAACGCUGGCGGCGUGCUUAACACAUGCAAGUCGAACGGAAAGGCCCUGCUUUUGUGGGGUGCUCGAGUGGCGAACGGGUGAGUAACACGUGAGUAACCUGCCCUUGACUUUGGGAUAACUUCAGGAAACUGGGGCUAAUACCGGAUAGGAGCUCCUGCUGCAUGGUGGGGGUUGGAAAGUUUCGGCGGUUGGGGAUGGACUCGCGGCUUAUCAGCUUGUUGGUGGGGUAGUGGCUUACCAAGGCUUUGACGGGUAGCCGGCCUGAGAGGGUGACCGGCCACAUUGGGACUGAGAUACGGCCCAGACUCCUACGGGAGGCAGCAGUGGGGAAUAUUGCACAAUGGGCGGAAGCCUUAUGCAGCAACGCCGCGUGCUGGAUGACGGCCUUCGGGUUGUAAACCGCUUUCGCCUGUGACGAAGCGUGAGUGACGGUAAUUGGUAAAGAAGCACCGGCUAACUACGUG
rnacentral:rRNA from 1 species